rnacentral:rRNA from 1 species
UACGUAGGGGGCUAGCGUUGUCCGGAAUCAUUGGGCGUAAAGCGCGCGUAGGUGGCCUCAUAAGUCCGCUGUGAAAGUCAAAGGCUCAACCUUUGAAAGCCGGUGGAUACUGUGGGGCUAGAGUACGGAAGAGGCGAGUGGAAUUCCUGGUGUAGCGGUGGAAUGCGCAGAUAUCGGGAGGAACACCAGUGGCGAAGGCGACUACCUGGCCUGUUUCUUGACGCUGAGGCGCGAAAGCUAGGGGAGCAAACGGG